rnacentral:rRNA from 1 species
UACGGAGGAUCCAAGCGUUAUCCGGAAUUACUGGGCGUAAAGAGUUGCGUAGGUGGCAUAGUAAGCGAAUAGUGAAAGCGUGUGGCUCAACCAUACUCACAUUAUCCGAACUGCUAAGCUAGAGUAUGAGAGAGGUAGAUGGAAUUCCCUGUGUAGGAGUGAAAUCCGUAGAUAUAGGGAGGAACACCGAUGGCGUAGGCAGUCUACUGGCUCAUUACUGACACUCAAGCACGAAAGCGUGGGUAGCAAACGGG